GGCGUAAAGGGUGUGUAGGCCGACAAUUCCCCCCAAGGUGGUAAAUGGAAUUUUUCUGUAACGGUAGAAUGUGUGGAUAGAAAAUAGAACCCCAAAGGCAAAAGCAAUUUACCUCGGGGAAGGGGGGGUGAAAAUCUGAUAUUCCCGAUCGGGACCUAUCACUCCACCCCCCCCCGAGCACAGGCUGAAACACGAGGGUGUGGGUAACAAACAGGAUUAGAGACCCUGGUAGUCCACACUGUAAACGAUGAAGAAAAUGUUAAUGCAACCCCGAAAGGUAGUAAUCUUCCGCCUGAGUAGUACGAUCGCAAGAUUAAAAUUCAAAAAAUUUGGCUGUUCACUGUUUCGAUUAGAGGAGCGUGUAGUUUAAUUCGAUAAACCGCGAGAUACCUUACCCAAACUUGAAUCACCCAUCCGAGAUUGAAUGGUCUCGGGAGGGUAGACCGGUAUUGCAUGGCCGUCGUCAGUUCGUGUAUGAAACCUUUAACGGACCUAACCCGGGGGGUUAGCCGCGGAUGAAGUCAGGUCUUAUGAUCCCUAUGUUUGGGGAUAAUAUGCGCUACAUUUUCUUAUACAAUGGGAAACCUGAAAGGUGAACCCCCAAAGUAGGAGUUCGGUAGGUCAUUGUAAGAUGACCGAAAGUUGAAUUUAAUAGUAAUCGGAAAGUAGAGC
rnacentral:rRNA from 1 species